rnacentral:rRNA from 1 species
CCUACGGGAGGCUGCAGUGAGGAAUAUUGGUCAAUGGACGGAAGUCUGAACCAGCCAUGCCGCGUGCAGGAAGACGGCUCUAUGAGUUGUAAACUGCUUUUGUACAAGGGUAAACCUGCAUACGUGUAUUCAGCUGAAAGUACUGUACGAAUAAGGAUCGGCUAACUCCGUGCCAGCAGCCGCGGUAAUACGGAGGAUCCAAGCGUUAUCCGGAUUUAUUGGGUUUAAAGGGUGCGUAGGCGGAUUGAUAAGUUAGAGGUGAAAUGUCCGAGCUUAACUCGGGAACUGCCUCUAAUACUGUUGAUCUAGAGAGUAGAUGCGGUAGGCGGAAUGUAUGGUGUAGCGGUGAAAUGCUUAGAGAUCAUACAGAACACCGAUUGCGAGGGCAGCUUACCAAGCUAUAUCUGACGUUGAGGCACGAAAGCGUGGGGAGCGAACAGGAUUAGAUACCCGGGUAGUC